AGAAANGACAUAAUGGUUAUGAUAUUGGCUUGAAACCAGUCCUAGGAGGUUCGAUUCCUUCCUUUCUU
rnacentral:tRNA from 1 species